UACAGAGGUCUCAAGCGUUGUUCGGAUUCAUUGGGCGUAAAGGGUGCGUAGGCGGUUUGUCGCGUCUGCUGUGAAAAUCCGGGGCUCAACCCCGGACUUGCAGUGGGUACGGGCAGACUAGAGUGUGGUAGGGGAGACUGGAAUUCCUGGUGUAGCGGUGGAAUGCGCAGAUAUCAGGAGGAACACCGAUGGCGAAGGCAGGUCUCUGGGCAUUAACUGACGCUGAGGAGCGAAAGCAUGGGGAGCGAACAGG
rnacentral:rRNA from 1 species